AAGAAAUUGAGUGCCCUGUCUUCUCUCAAUAUGCAUUAUGUAUCUCUUUAAUAGUACUACAGUGCGUAUCAAAAAAAAGUUUACACUUUGAAAAGCCCUGGGAAUUAAAAAAUAUACAACAUGUGGGUAAUUUUUUCACAUAUAUUCUUGGGUUUGGGUCUCAUCUAUCCAAUGAAAGUAAAAGUUUUGACAGAAUGUUACACUUGGGUGAGCACUGUCCAUCUUUGUAAAGCUCGCAGAUAUCUGUUUGCGCAGAAAUGCUAAUUUUCACGCUGUGUCAAGGGGUAAGGGCGAAAUCAAGCUUACCCUGCGAAACAUUUUUCAUACAUUUCCCUUGCACUUUUAGUCAAUUGAAAUAAAACGGAUACAUUCAAGCAUUUUGUAACAAUUUUGCCACCCAAAUUUAAAUUUCAACACUUAGUAAGCACAACCUUUACCCUUUUUGUGCCUGCUGGCUCUGAGGACAUAACUGAAUCUGAACAAAAGUUUAUAUCAGACAUCUCCAGCAUUUUUUCACUAACUUUUUAUCAUUUAAAGUGGGUUUACAUUUCAUUUUUCAUUUAUUACUUGUUUCUCCACACUUUUCCCGAGCUUGACAAUGAUUAACAAAUUGAAAAUCAAGCCUAAGCCAUUUCAUGUAAAUCACAGCUCAGUGUAAAGCAAAUAUCGUCACGAUGGCCUCGGUGUUUGGGAGAGUGGGGUGGGGCGCAAUGCACUCUUCGAAGUGUUUUGGGCAAGGAAACAAGUUAAAAAAGGUCAAAGAUAUCUUCAAAUCAAUUUUACUAGCUAAAUUACACGUGUUCUUCAUGAUUAAAGUCUACUUAUAUUCGCAUAGCUAUUUCAAAGUUCUGCGCAAAUCAUUUUUCACUAACUUUUCAAAGGUAAGUGGUGCUCAUUCAAGCGGAAAUAUUUUUGGACAGUUAUAUCGUCAUUUGCUUAAUUGGAUAUGUACCAUUGUUAAAAUGUGGAAAAAUCUUCAGGAUUUUACAAAUGUAUAAUUUUACAGGAUUUUUUCUAAGUGUAAACUUUUUUUUGAUAUGCACUGUAUAACCACAUGCAUUUUGUGGCAGUCAGCUUGCUGUCACUUUUAUAGAAAUUUAAUGAAUUAUGCAUCCUUUGGCAUGUUUUGUUAAAAUAGUCAAGAGUUUGAAUAUAUUUUUUAUGUUAUCGUUUUUUUUUAUAUCUUUUGUACUUUUAGUAUGGGAUUUCUUGCUUAAUAUCCAGUUUGCUACAAUGUAAACUACUAAGUGAAGUUGACGGUAUUUAAUAGUUGUGCUGGCUUGAACCUGACAAUACUGUAUUUGUAAUAGCCUGAUGGUCCUAUAUUUAUUGACAUCGCAUGAUUUCUUAGAUUUCUAGCUAAUUUAAUCUGAUUAUCCAACUUUCUCAUAUUUUCAGGUUGUAAAUCCUGGCACAAACAAGGUGAUUACCAUUGUAACCGGGGGAAACAAGACAGACAUUAGUCCAGUUAAUUUGAACACUGCCUCUCCAGCAUCGCCUUCGACUACUGUACCUAUGUCAAUAACACUGGAUCCAGGAAGUGAAUUAGAUGGAGAAAAUAUAUGUAUUGUUACAAGUGAGGAGAUAGUCAAUCAGGUGGAUAGUGUUGAGCUUGAAGUUACACAAGAGACAGAUGAAGAUCAAAACUUGAUACAUGUAACUGAUUUAACGACUGACACAGGAUGAAAUGAACAUACUGUCUUUAGAAGCGUUAUAAACUAUUGAAAAGUGAGUGAAGUCACCUGGACUUGACAGAUGAGAGCUCUUGGAAAGUGAUUCAAGAUCAUCUGGUUUCUACAUAAGACUCAACUGUUAGAGUUAUCUCUUUGUCUGGGCUUGUAUUUCAAAGAAAAAUGCUACAGAAGUCAUCAUUCCAUUUAGGAAGAUGAAAAAAAAAACUUUCUCAUGUGGGAAUUCAUUGUUUAAGAUGUUGAAAGUGGAUUUAAUCUACAAUUUGCGACCCCAACAUAGAGACCUUACAAGCCAAAAUACAGCAUCUGCAGAUAAGCGUCUGGAUUGUGAAGAACUGGUAAUAGAUGGAGGCUGCAUUGACAUUGAUAUUUGAAGACCAGGGUAAAGGCAGUGGGUCAGUAUCCCCAAGGAGUUUCAUAACCUCUGAAAUCAAAGAAUCUGGGUUGCUGACAUUUGUUGACAUGAAUGCUAAAGGAGGAUUUAGUGAUUCCCUGUAGGGGAAAUCUUACACCAGUUUUAAUAACAGUGAACAAAUUGAAUUUUCUGAAAGAGACAAACAUGUUGGAAAUGGGUCAUAGCCAUAGGAAAACAAGGUGAUGGGGAUUGAUAAAAAAUAUAUAAAAAAUAAUACCGUUUUUUAACUUGGAAAUCACCUUGACUGAUAGGUCAUGCAGUUUCGGGGUGAUGAUUUGAGUGAUCUAUUAAACUUCUUGAAAUAAAAUGUGGACAUUUCUUCUUUUUGUUUAGUUACCUUUCGAUAGAUUUUGUGACCUUUAACGACUUGUACUAUAUCCAUCCCUCUGUCCAGCUUACAUGAGUAUGAAUAAAUUUGCAUUCUAUUAAUCCAUUAAAAAAUACCAAAGGUAAUAUUAGUCUUAAAAUGACUUAA